GUUAUUAUUAUAUUUUGCUGAUGAAAAUGUGUUUAUGGACAGGUACCUCAACUCGACGUUGCUGUAUGUCCGGUCCAAUAAUAACAAUGGCGUAUCAAACGUCGCUCCCAAACCGCGCGGUCGACAUCCAUCUGCAUAACUCAUUCCGCAAGAAUGAGUGGUAUAGUUUGAAAACUUACCAAAGUUAUCUGGUGGAUGUCGAUACGUUGGUGAGCAGCCGUCGCACAUAGGUCUGAUGUACCUAUGGAAAGUUAUUAUUGGAUCGGUCAUAAUAUUACGCUGAGAAGUUAUGUGUCCAUAAACUUAUUUUCAGAUUUUUAGGCCAAUUCCGUUGCCAUUUUUUAAUCAUUCUUUGUUUUUAUUAAGGUUGAGGUGUAACAGCAUUUUAGGGGCUAUUGUAAUUCCCACUUCCAGGACUUUAUCAUACAUACAGCCGACAGCACGAUGACCUACAUUUUUGUGUAUUCUGGUCUACACUAUGAUGGCAGCGAAAGUAACGAUCACGUCACCGUUUAUCAGAUUGCCCAGUUUGAAAGAGUCUCCAACAAUUUCAUCGGAUAUGUACGCCAUAAACCGUGGCAUAGCGCUGGGCCAGCAUCAUUUUGUCCGGAUCAAUAUCUAAAAAAAUGGCGUCCCAAUUAUUAGAAGCUAAUAAUAUAGUGUCUUUGUCGAACAGUCAGCUGUACGAAGUUUCCGCUGUGCCACAAAACGGGUCGACGCCGAUCGCUGAACAUGGGAAGUCCUCAAGUCCACCCAGCAUCGUAUUGAUGAAUCAACAAUACAUCUUACAUCUUACAUCUAUCAUUGCAAUCUUAUAAUUAUUCACCUGAAUGCAUGUAAUCCUGAAUGUACAGUUACUUUAUUACUACCCAUCUACAAA